rnacentral:snoRNA from 1 species
AAGCAGCACUCUGCAGCAGAUAAAACUGACACAGUUUGAGCUUGCUAUAGAAGGAAAGUCUAGCCUAUUCCGGUAUUCUCUUCUCUGUGAGACAAGGCGUCAUGUAGACUUAAACAGG